AUUGAACGCUGGCGGCAUGCUUUACACAUGCAAGUCGAACGGCAGCGCGGGGCAACCUGGCGGCGAGUGGCGAACGGGUGAGUAAUAUAUCGGAACGUACCCAGAAGUGGGGGAUAACGUAGCGAAAGUUACGCUAAUACCGCAUACGAUCUACGGAUGAAAGUAGGGGACCGCAAGGCCUUAUGCUUUUGGAGCGGCCGAUAUCUGAUUAGCUAGUUGGUGAGGUCAAGGCUCACCAAGGCGACGAUCAGUAGCUGGUCUGAGAGGACGACCAGCCACACUGGAACUGAGACACGGUCCAGACUCCUACGGGAGGCAGCAGUGGGGAAUUUUGGACAAUGGGCGCAAGCCUGAUCCAGCAAUGCCGCGUGAGUGAAGAAGGCCUUCGGGUUGUAAAGCUCUUUUGUCAGGGAAGAAACGGUAGAGGCUAAUAUCCUUUGCUAAUGACGGUACCUGAAGAAUAAGCACCGGCUAACUACGUG
rnacentral:rRNA from 1 species